rnacentral:rRNA from 1 species
CGUAGGGACCAAGCGUUGUUCGGAUUUACUGGGCGUAAAGGGCGCGUAGGCGGCCUGACAAGUCACUUGUGAAAUCUCCGGGCUUAACUCGGAACGGCCAAGUGAAACUGUCAUGCUAGAGUGCAGAAGGGGCAAUCGGAAUUCUUGGUGUAGCGGUGAAAUGCGUAGAUAUCAAGAGGAACACCUGAGGUGAAGACGGGUUGCUGGGCUGACACUGACGCUGAGGCGCGAAAGCCAGGGGAGCAAACGGGAUUAGAUACCCCGGUAGUCCUGGCCCUAAACGAUGAAUACUUGGUGUCUGGAGUAAAUAGUGCUCCGGGUGCCGUCGCUAACGUUUUUAGUAUUCCGCCUGGGGAGUACGCUCGCAAGAGUG